rnacentral:rRNA from 1 species
AAGGGCACCACAAGAACGCGUGGAGCAUGUGGCUUAAUUUGACUCAACGCGGGAAAUCUUACCAGGUCCAGACAUAUUGAGGAUUGACAGGUGAUAUAUAAUAUAUUUUUAAUAUAUUAUUACAAAUAUGAUAGUCCUUUCAUGAUUAUAUGAUAGGUGGUGCAUGGCCGUUCUUAGUUCGUGGAGUGAUCUGUCUGCUUAAUUGCGUUUCAUAUAAUAUUACAUAAUAAUACUUAAUAUAUUAUUUUAAGUGUUCUGCCUUUUUAAGGAUUGUGAACCUUUUAUAAUAUUUAAUAUUAUUAUAUUUAAAUGAAUGCAACGAACGUGACUAUAACCUUUUAUUGCAAUAUUUUAUAUAUAAUUUAAUUUUUAUAAUUUUAUUAUAUUAUAUUGCUUAAAAUUAAAGGAACCGCUGUCUAAUAUUUAGUGUUAAAACAGAGGAAGAUUAUGGCAAUAACAGGUCUGUGAUGCCCUCAGAUGUUCUGGGCUGCACACGUGCUACAAUAAUUACUAUAAUAAGUGUCUAAUUAAUAUAAAUAUAUACUUAAUAUAUUUUUAAUAUUUCGUAUAUAUAUAAAACCUAUUUCGAAAGUGAAUGGGUAAUCAUUUAAAAAUCGUGAUUAUCAUUUUAUACAACAAUUUUAAAUAAUAUAUAUUUAUAAUUAAUAUUUUAUAUAUUAUUAUAUUAUAUAUUAUGUUGUAUUAAUUAAUUUAAGGUGGGGAUAGUGAAUUGUUAAUUAUUUCACUUGGCCUUAACUAGGAAUGCCUUGUACUGUUCCUUGGUUCAUCAUACCAACAGGAAUACGUCCCUGCCCUUUGUACACACCGCCCGUCGCUCUUACCGAUGAAUUAUAUUAUAAAUCUAAGGGACUUAAAAUUAUAUUUAUUAUAAUUUCGGAAACUUAUAUGCAUAAUGUGAUCUAAAGGAAAGAGAAGUCGUAACAAGGCAUCGGUAGGUGAACCUGCAGAAGGAUCA